AAUAAAAAAAUAAAAUUUAUUGUAGAAUAUUAAAUGUUAAGUCAUUAAAUUUAUAAGAUUUGGCGGUAUUUUAUAUAAUUAGAGGAAUCUGUAAUUUAAUUGAUAUUCCACGAUAAGAAAAACUUAAUUUUAAUUAUUUAUGUAUUGCUGUUUAAAAAAUUUUAUUAAGUAAAAUUUUUAAAUUAAUAUUUUAAUUAAAUUCAAGUCAAAAUAUAGUUUAUUUAAGAUAUUUAUGGAUUACAAUUUUAAUUAAUAAUGAAUAAUUUAAUUUAAAUUAAAUUUAAAAUUGGAUUUAAUAGUAAAUUUAAUUAAUUAAUUAAUUUGAAAAUCAAUUUAGAAUAUGU
rnacentral:rRNA from 1 species